rnacentral:rRNA from 1 species
CCCCACAUCUAAUAGAAAUUACUGGGAGUAAAGCGCACGCAGGCGGUUUGUUAAGUCACAUAUGAAAUCCCCGCGCUUAACGUGGGAACUGCAUUUGAAACUGGCAAGCUAUAGUCUUGUAGAGGGGGGUAGAAUUCCACGUGUAUCGGUGAAAUGCGUAUAGAUCUGGAGGAAUACAGGUGGCGAAAGCGGCCCCCUGGACAAAAACUGAGGCUCAGGUGCGAAAACGUGUGGAGCAAAAAGGAUUAUAUACACUGGGAGUCCUCCCUCUAAAACAUUUCCACCUGUAGGUUGUGCCCUCUAAGCGUGGUUUUUCGAGACUAUACGUUUAUUGACCCCCCGGGGGAUACGGCGCCACUGUUUAAGCCCCAUUUAAUUUCUGGGGGCCCGCGCAUUCCGCGUAGCCGGCGUUUUAUUUUAAUUCACGCUAAAAAAACCAACCCCUCUUUAAAUCGGAAAAAUUCUUGCAAACUAAUUCAAGGCCUUCGGGAACUCUGAGACAGGGUUUGUUGGAUAGCUCCCAUCAGCUCGUGUUGUGAAAUGUUGGGUUAAGUCCCGCAACGAGCGCAACCCUUAUCCUUUGUUGCCAGCACGUAAUGGUG